GCGCGGUUAGCUCAGGGGAAGAGCACUACCUUGACACGGUAGGGGUCGCAGGUUCAAAUCCUGCAUCGCGCACCA
rnacentral:tRNA from 1 species